rnacentral:rRNA from 1 species
GGUGUUGCUGUUCUCCAUGAAACAGUUCAUGAGCUUUACCGUAAAAAUUUGAACGGUGUCAUCUUUAAGAUUGACUUCGAGAAAGCUUAUGAUAAGGUGAAGUGGCCUUUUUUGCUCCAAACUCUUCACAUGAAAGGGUUUUCUGACACUUGGUGCCGAUGGGUUGAGAGUUUUGUGUCUGGAGAUAGUGUGGCUAUCAAGGUCAACGAUGACGUAGGCAAUUAUUUCCAGACUAGGAAGGGGCUUCGUCAAGGCGACCCCGCAUCUCCUAUCCUUUUCAACAUCGUGGCUGAUAUGCUAGUUACUCUCAUCGAGAGGGCC